UGGAUCCAGACUUUGAUUAUGGCUCAGGAUGAACGCUAGCUACAGGCUUAACACAUGCAAGUCGAGGGGCAGCAUGGCGGUAGCUUGCUACCGCUGAUGGCGACCGGCGCACGGGUGAGUAACGCGUAUCCAACCUGCCCUUGUCCACCGCAUAGCCCGUCGAAAGGCGGAUUAACUCGGUAUGCCGUCCACGGCAGGCAUCUAAUGUGGACGAAAUGUGAAGGAUAAGGAUGGGGAUGCGUCUGAUUAGCUUGUUGGUGGGGCAACGGCCCACCAAGGCGACGAUCAGUAGGGGUUCUGAGAGGAAGGUCCCCCACAUUGGAACUGAGACACGGUCCAAACUCCUACGGGAGGCAGCAGUGAGGAAUAUUGGUCAAUGGGUGAGAGCCUGAACCAGCCAAGUAGCGUGCAGGAUGACGGCCCUAUGGGUUGUAAACUGCUUUUAUGCGGGGAUAAAGUGAGUCACGUGUGGCUUAUUGCAGGUACCGCAUGAAUAAGGACCGGCUAAUUCCGUGCCAGCAGCCGCGGUAAUACGGAAGGUCCGGGCGUUAUCCGGAUUUAUUGGGUUUAAAGGGAGCGUAGGCCGACCCUUAAGCGUGUUGUGAAAUGUCGGGGCUCAACCUGGGCACCGCAGCGCGAACUGGGGGUCUUGAGUGCACGGUAGGAAGGCGGAAUUCGUGGUGUAGCGGCGAAAUGCUUAGAUAUCACGAAGAACUCCGAUUGCGAAGGCAGCUUUCCGCAGUGCAACUGACGCUGAAGCUCGAAAGCGUGGGUAUCGAACAGGAUUAGAUACCCUGGUAGUCCACGCGGUAAACGAUGGAUGCUCGCUGUUUGCGUUUUACGUAAGCGGCCAAGCGAAAGCGUUAAGCAUCCCACCUGGGGAGUACGCCGGCAACGGUGCAA
rnacentral:rRNA from 1 species